AAUGACAAACAAACAUUGUGGACAGACUGACGCAGAGCUGCAGGAGGUGUCUCCACGUUGUGAUGCUUGGAGUUGAGGAGGGCAAGACACAGGCGACUCCUUUCUGCUUCUUCAAUGAAUGUUUUAUCAUUGUUUUAAAACCAGGCAUGAAACUCAUGCCCCGGCUUCUCCCACUCUUGUCAAGGUCCCUGCACUGCACCUUGGGUCCUAUCACCUGCUAACAAGCUGACGCACGCAUUGCAUCAGAAGACUGUCUUUGCUAGCACAACCACCCAUCACAAGUUGCAAACACUAUGGGCUAGCCAUUUGCCAGACUGAAUUGACUCUAUUCCAAAGCUAAGAAGUGUAAUGCUAUUAUUAACUUAUACAAAUAGACAUAUGAUACAAAUAUAAUUUUCUUUAGAGAUUUUAAA